GACGAACGCUGGCGGCGUGCUUAACACAUGCAAGUCGAACGAAGAGCGAUGGAAGCUUGCUUCUAUCAAUCUUAGUGGCGAACGGGUGAGUAACGCGUAAUCAACCUGCCCUUCAGAGGGGGACAACAGUUGGAAACGACUGCUAAUACCGCAUACGAUCUAAUCUCGGCAUCGAGGAUAGAUGAAAGGUGGCCUCUACAUGUAAGCUAUCACUGAAGGAGGGGAUUGCGUCUGAUUAGCUAGUUGGAGGGGUAACGGCCCACCAAGGCGAUGAUCAGUAGCCGGUCUGAGAGGAUGAACGGCCACAUUGGGACUGAGACACAGCCCAGACUCCUACGGGAGGCAGCAGUGGGGAAUCUUCCGCAAUGGACGAAAGUCUGACGGAGCAACGCCGCGUGAGUGAUGACGGCCUUCGGGUUGUAAAGCUCUGUUAAUCGGGACGAAAGGCCUUCUUGCGAAUAGUGAGAAGGAUUGACGGUACCGGAAUAGAAAGCCACGGCUAACUACGUG
rnacentral:rRNA from 1 species